AUUGAACGCUAGCGGGAUGCUUUACACAUGCAAGUCGAACGGCAGCGCGGACUUCGGUCUGGCGGCGAGUGGCGAACGGGUGAGUAAUGUAUCGGAACGUGCCCAGUAGCGGGGGAUAACUACGCGAAAGCGUAGCUAAUACCGCAUACGCCCUACGGGGGAAAGCAGGGGAUCGUAAGACCUUGCACUAUUGGAGCGGCCGAUAUCGGAUUAGCUAGUUGGUGAGGUAACGGCUCACCAAGGCGACGAUCCGUAGCUGGUUUGAGAGGACGACCAGCCACACUGGAACUGAGACACGGCCCAGACUCCUACGGGAGGCAGCAGUGGGGAAUGUUGGACAAUGGGGGCAACCCUGAUCCAGCCAUCCCGCGUGUGCGAUGAAGGCCUUCGGGUUGUAAAGCACUUUUGGCAGGAAAGAAACGUCGCGGGCUAAUACCCCGUGGAACUGACGGUACCUGCAGAAUAAGCACCGGCUAACUACGUG
rnacentral:rRNA from 1 species